GCACCUACGGGACGCAGCAGUGGGGAAUAUUGCACAAUGGGGGGAACCCUGAUGCAGCGACGCCGCGUGAGUGAAGAAGUAUUUCGGUAUGUAAAGCUCUAUCAGCAGGGAAGAAAAUGACGGUAGCCAAGGAGAGAGCUCCGGCUAACUACGUGCCAGCAGCCGCGGUAAUACGUAGGGAGCGAGCGUUGUCCGGAAUUACUGGGUGUAAAGGGUGCGUAGGCGGCCUUGCAAGUCAGGCGUGAAAACCAUGGGCUCAACCCGUGGACUGCGUUUGAAACUGUGAGGCUUGAGUGAAGUAGAGG
rnacentral:rRNA from 1 species